GCAAGUCGAGGGGUAUUGGUUUUCGGACCAAGAGACCGGCGCACGGGUGCGUAACGCGUAUGCAAUCUACCUUUUGCAGAGGGAUAGCCCAGAGAAAUUUGGAUUAAUACCUCAUAGUAUAGCAGUUUCGCAUGAAACCACUAUUAAAGUCACAACGGCAAAAGAUGAGCAUGCGUCCCAUUAGCUAGUUGGUAAGGUAACGGCUUACCAAGGCUACGAUGGGUAGGGGUCCUGAGAGGGAGAUCCCCCACACUGGUACUGAGACACGGACCAGACUCCUACGGGAGGCAGCAGUGAGGAAUAUUGGACAAUGGGCGCAAGCCUGAUCCAGCCAUGCCGCGUGCAGGAUGACGGUCCUAUGGAUUGUAAACUGCUUUUGUACAGGAAGAAACACUCCCUCGUGAGGGAGCUUGACGGUACUGUAAGAAUAAGGAUCGGCUAACUCCGUGCCAGCAGCCGCGGUAAUACGGAGGAUCCAAGCGUUAUCCGGAAUCAUUGGGUUUAAAGGGUCCGUAGGCGGUUUAGUAAGUCAGUGGUGAAAGCCCAUCGCUCAACGGUGGAACGGCCAUUGAUACUGCUAGACUUGAAUUAUUAGGAAGUAACUAGAAUAUGUAGUGUAGCGGUGAAAUGCUUAGAGAUUACAUGGAAUACCAAUUGCGAAGGCAGGUUACUACUAAUGGAUUGACGCUGAUGGACGAAAGCGUGGGUAGCGAACAGGAUUAGAUACCCUGGUAGUCCACGCCGUAAACGAUGGAUACUAGCUGUUGGGAGCAAUCUCAGUGGCUAAGCGAAAGUGAUAAGUAUCCCACCUGGGGAGUACGUUCGCAAGAAUGAAACUCAAAGGAAUUGACGGGGGCCCGCACAAGCGGUGGAGCAUGUGGUUUAAUUCGAUGAUACGCGAGGAACCUUACCAAGGCUUAAAUGUAGAUUGACCGGUUCGGAACAGACUUUUCGCAAGACAAUUUACAGGUGCUGCAUG
rnacentral:rRNA from 1 species